UAGCUGUGCCAAAAAUGACAAAAGACUAAGGAAGGGCGUGCAUCUGCCCCUGCUCUCUCCAUCGCCCUUCCUAGUCAUGGCGUGUGGGGCCUGAAGCAACUCCAGACUGAGGACAAGGUGAAGGCUGAUCAUGGCUCAGCCUCACACAGAGGUUUUCUGGGCUGACUUCCCAUUAUCUCCUACCCUCACAUUCAGAAGAGCUCUCUUUCCUCCAAGCUCAGGAAGAAGCUGCUGCCUGCAUGAAGAGUAUUUCAAGAAUAGGAUUUAUGCAUUAGUCUACAUAGUUAGAGAUGUAUAUAUGUUCUGAUCUUUAAAUAUAGUUUUGAAUAAAUGUGUUUUGAUUGUAUCUUUAAA